rnacentral:rRNA from 1 species
GACGAACGCUGGCGGCGUGCCUAAUACAUGCAAGUCGACCUUAGUGGCGAACGGGUUAGUAACACGUGGGUUACCUGCCCAUCAGAAGGGGAUAACACUUGGAAACAGGUGCUAAUACCGUAUACUGAUGGAUGGACCCGCGGUGCAUUAGCUAGGUGGUGAGGUAACUGCUCACCAAGGCCACGAUGGAUAGCCGACCUGAGAGGGUGAGCGGGCACAUUGGGACUGAGACACGGCCCAAACUCCUACGGGAGGCAGCAGUAGGAAAUCUUCGGCAAUGGACGAAAGUCUGACCGAGCAAAGCCGCGUGAGUGAAGAAGGGUUUCGGAUCGUAAAACUCUGGUGGUAGAGAAGCGGUAUCUAACCAGAAAGCCACGGCUAACUACGUGCCAGCAGCCGCGGUAAUAC